rnacentral:rRNA from 1 species
AGAACGAACGCUGGCGGCAGGCUUAACACAUGCAAGUCGAGCGCCCCGCAAGGGGAGCGGCAGACGGGUGAGUAACGCGUGGGAACAUACCCUCCGGUUCGGAAUAGCUCAGGGAAACUUGGAUUAAUACCGGAUACGGCCUAGCGGCGAAAGAUUCAUCGCCGGAGGAUUGGCCCGCGUUCGAUUAGCUAGUUGGUGAGGUAACGGCUCACCAAGGCGACGAUCGAUAGCUGGUCUGAGAGGAUGAUCAGCCACAUUGGGACUGAGACACGGCCCAAACUCCUACGGGAGGCAGCAGUGGGGAAUAUUGGACAAUGGGCGCAAGCCUGAUCCAGCCAUGCCGCGUGAGUGAUGACGGCCUUAGGGUUGUAAAGCUCUUUCGCUAGGGACGAUAAUGACGGUACCUAGACAAGAAGCCCGGCUAACUUCGUGCCAGCAGCCGC